UUUUUGCUGCCAGGAAGUUGGCGAUUUCGACUCUGACUCGGCACAAGUCGCAGUUGGGUCUUUAGUUGCCAAUCGGGUGUGGCACGUGCUGAGGUUACAGCUCCUCCAGCAGCAGCAGUUUUAAAAGAGUCCUGACCGUGCAAUUUUAUCGAUUCGCCCCGUCAAAUGUAACACACCAAAACUAAAUGCAAAAGUUUUCGGUUCUUUCGCAUAAAGUUAAUUGCCAGGCAGUGCCGAGAACCAGAACCCCAGUCCACACAGUCUAUAGUCUGUAGUCCACAUUCGAAGAGCACCCCACUCUGAUAUGAGUGAUACCGAUGCGGUGAGUUGUGGUUCAAGUACCCUCACAUUUAUUUUUUGGAGCUGCACUCAAAGCACCAAAUUGCCCAUGCACAAAUGAUUUACGAGCAUAAUUUGAAUAUAUCGGCCAUGUUAAUGGGUGUAUUAUGCCGUCGACCUUGCAAAUACCCCAUUGCAUAUACCUCAUUGUCAGUCAGCCGCAAGGAGCAAAAGCGAACAGAAAACCCUUUGCGAAACAAAUCAAACAGCGAUUUCUUGUGGCCCGUCGAUUUUGGGCCUUAGAACUGCCGAAACUUUUGUUGAAUCAAUAAGCCACAAAAACAAUUUGGGUCAUGUUACAGCUGGCAACCGAAUUUCAUGACAAAAUUCCCUAAUGGUAACCAAAGAGCGCCGCCGCCCGAAAGCCGAAGAACCCGAAAAUACCAAAAACCAAAACAAUAAAAUGUAAACAAAUGCAGAAAGAGCCAUCAAAUUUGAAAGCACCCACUCAAUGGCAACUAUAUUGAUACCUCUGUUCCGAUGAUACACGAGCACUUGGCACCCCCACACAUUCGGUGGGUGAAUCCACAGCGAUAUAUGGCCAUACAUAUGCAAAUGAUAUGGGCCAGUCAGUUUGGAACUGUAUGUACUGUAUAUGUGGCAUUGGCCACCAAAAGCUGCCUUUCGAGCCCUGCCACGUAUUGGGUUACCCGACACUUGCACAUUUCUGCACCGACACCGCAGGCGAGAAGUUCUAGCUCCAGGAUGUACGGCACGGCAAAGGAAGGAUCGAGCCAGGAGUUUUCCCAGGAGGAUUACCCACUGCAGCCGCAGCAGCGUGGUCAGUCCAAGUCAGAGUAUCUUGCUGCAGAUAGCUCUAAUUACGUUUUGGAUUCGGAAGCUGUAGAUCGCCCCCAGCAGCAGUUAAGAUCACAGCCUGCCCAGGAGGCAAUUGAUUCAACUGUGGAACGAAGCAAACCACAGCUAAGAACUCAGCUAAACAGCAAUAAUACCCUAGAUUCUGUGCCAACAGAUCGCUCUAGGCAGCAGUUAAGAACUCAACAGAAUCCAGAGUACCUGAGCAAUGUAGGAGCUUCCUACGAGGCAGCCAGAGGUGAUCCGGCCUCCGUGAACCGCAAUCAAGAGCAGCCAUUGAGAUCCCAACCAGCUGCAGAUUACUCCAGCAAUAGUUUUCUAGCUGAGCGACAGCAGCGUCCUCAGCCAGCCACAAUUGAGUACACCGGCUAUAAUGCACCACCACCACCGCAACAACCACAACCCAAAGAUCGCACAUUUUCACGCAGCAAUUCCAAGCCCACCAUCUCACCCCAACCCAAGCUCCAAAGUAAACCCAAUCCCGAGUAUGUGCGACCACCACAGAACUUUGUCUUGCCGCCGCAGAUGCGUCCUGCCGUGGGGCCACCACAGCCGCGUCCUCCGUUCGCCGGAGCCAGACCGAUGGUCGGGAUGGUGGGACCACGUCCGCCCAUGCCACCCAAUAUGGGGGCCAGGCCACCGCCACUGCGCACCACAGACAGCAAGAGCAACUUGCUGAUGGGUCCGCCGGGAAUGCGACCGGGAAUGCCACCGCAGCUGAACAUGCAGCAGGCUCGUCUGCCCAACUCUGGCGGACCACUGAGUCCGCCGGGACAGGGGCCGCCCAGGCCACCUGGUGGCUUUCCCUGGAAUCCUGCCGGGGCUCCGGGAAUGCCACCGGGCGCCAGACCGCCCCAGAAUAUGACGCGACCACCGCCACCCACUUUUGCCCGCCCGCCGCCGGGUCAACCGCUGCAGGCCCCCUUCCGACCGCCCUUCAACCAACCGCCCAUGCAACCGCAACAGCUACCACAACAACUGCAGCAGCAGCAGCAGCAGCAGCAGCAACAGCAACACUUGCAACAGCAACCACCACCGCAGCAACUACGCCCACUUUCGGCACACAACAACGAUGACGACGAUGACGUGGUCAUGGGUCCGGCGGUGACCCCGCUCAAGACCUUCAACCCGAGGCCAGAUCCCAUGGGCGAGCCCCUGCUGGAGGACAUUGAGCCACCCUUCGAGACCAGCCCGCCGGCGGGAGAUGCCCGGAAGGGACCUGGAUUUAAGGGUGACAAUGACAGCGGCGUGGAUGAGUCCACUCAGGAGAAGGAUCGCAACGGACCCAUCUCGCCCAGUUCGCCGGUCAAGACACCCACAUCGACCUCAUCGAAGCCGGACAAGUCGGGCACGUCGCGCCCACCGAGUGCCACGCCCUCGAACAAGUCAGCACCCAAGUCGCGCAGCGCCUCCAAGAAUCGCUUGCUCCUCAAGACACCAGAGCCCGAGCCAGCCAAGAAAGUUCCAAUGAACAAGGUACAAGUCGGCCAUGCGCCUUCGCCCAACCUGAAGGCUGUGCGCUCCAAAAUCGGCUCCCUGGACAAUGCCACCUAUAAGCCGGGUGGCGGCCACGUGAAGAUCGAGUCGAAGAAGAUUGACAUCAAGGCGGCACCGCGCAUCGAGGCCAAGAACGACAAGUACAUGCCGAAGGGCGGCGAGAAGAAGAUAGUUACAACCAAGUUGCAGUGGAAUGCGAAGUCGAAAAUCGGUUCGCUGGAGAAUGCCGCCCACAAGCCAGGAGGCGGGGACAAGAAGAUCGAGACCCUGAAGAUGGACUUCAAGGACAAGGCCAAGCCGAAGGUGGGCUCCACCUCCAAUGUGAAACAUCAGCCAGGUGGCGGUGAUAUCAAGGAUAACAACCCCAAGGAUAUCCAAACGCAAAAACUAGAAAUUAAGGCACAAAGCAAAGUUGGCUCUUUGGAUAAUGUAAAGCACAAGCCCGGUGGCGGUGAGAAGAAGAUUUUCGAUGAUAAGGAUUAUUUGAAAAAUGUUGAACACUCUGUUGCACUGACAACACCACCAACACAGGAAUAUAUAUACAAUUUUUAUUAGGCUAGUCGUACGAAACUAAGUGCAUUAAAUUCAAAAAUCGUAUACACGUUACGUCCAUUAGAGUUAUUUAUCGCCUAUUACUAUAUAACUACUACAUCAUAUACUCGAAAUCCGAAUGCGAUGCGGUUUUAACCAAAUAUAGAAACAUUCGAUCCGAUCCGAUCCGAUUCAAUUCGAUUCGAUUUGAUCAAGCAAGCCCCAGUCCACUACCAUCCAUGACGGCUUCUGGCGCUGAUGAAAAUUUAAAUCAACAAAGCUAAAUGCCCGAAAUGCCCGAAAUGCAUGUCGAGCUGAAUCUUUCUUUGCAAUCGAUGAAAGAUCGAAAGUGAAAAAUGAACAUUGAACAUUGAACCAGCUAAUUUGAAAUGUACUAUCUAAGCAAAAGCCACACAAAGCAGAACGAGAGUUAUGCGAUAAUUCCCACACACCCUCACAAGCCAGUUAAAAAAAAAAAGAUCAGAGCAAUUCGAUAGAGGUGCAAGCACGCAAUAAAGAUGCAGAUACUCGAACAUCUACACAAGCACCCACAUAGAAGCGGUAUUUGGUAUACAAAUCGAAAGUAUAUUUGACUAGUUGAGCAAUGCACUCUUUAUCAUCAGAUACAAGACAUAAAUUAUAUAUCUCAAUGUAUUACCAGAACUUCAUACAUAUAUACAUACAAAUAAAAAAAUAUAUAUACAUAAAAGUAUCUAAAUAUUUAAGCAAAUUAUACAAGAAUCGUACGAAUAAACGGUGUGCUUAGUUGAAAAUGUUACACUUGACGUCUAAAUGUUAAACGACUAAGAUAAUGCGACCCAUUGAUUUGUAAACACUUUAGAUACUUUUGCGACGAACAAAAGCAAACGACACCAAACAGAACCGAACCGAACCUAACCGAACCGAACGGAAAAGAUAAAUCCACUUAUAAGCAUAUUUUUACUAUUAAUUUGUAUCUUAUUAGUCAAGCGCAUCAUUCUCACGAUUUAUUUACACCCUGUUACAAAAUGUAAGAACAAUGGCAAAAUUUAAACAUAAUAAAACAAACAAAAAAACGUUUUUUCAUUUACCAAA